AACAAUUAUUCGCUUAUAUUAGUCGUGUACGUCAUUAAGAGCUGGAGAGCUAAUUAUUGGAGGGAAGUAAUCUGCACGAAAUAAAAAGGAAUAAUACAGUGGAAAAAAUAAAUCAUUUCGUAGAAGGCCCAACGCUAUCAAGGACCGACGUUACUCACAUACAUUUCACGGGAGUUUGAAAGUACGAAGCGAUAAAAAGAAAAUCAGCGAGAUUACUCAUCAUCGAGAUAACGCAAACAACGAACAUUUGCAGGAAUUUAUGCAUGCGUAUAAUAUAAACGAAGGAAAGUAUUCGCGAUCCUUUUCGGCAUGUGCGAUUAUAAUUAUAGUCAUCGAUAAACGAAAAAGAAGUUAGAUUAGAAAAUUAUUAAUUUAGCCAAAUUAUCAAUUAAAAAAGCAAAGUAUGCAGCUACUGAUGCUCGAUUGGUUAAUGAAUCGAGUAUCCGUCGAACUGGAAACUGCAAAAUAAUGAAUUAGCGAUGAUAUGGAAAGAAACGCGUUUCGUGUCACAAUAUGUGAUUAUUCUGAUAUGAAAUCAGAAAAAUCUAAUUUAAGACUGAUGAAAAUGUUUUAUUUACUUUGCAUAAUCAUUACUUGUAUCAUAUGCCGCGUUCCAUAUGCAUUUCAUAAAUAUUCCUAUUCUCGUGUUUUUGCCCGUCUGUCAGAAAAGAACCACAGAAAGGACCAAGCUUGAAUCAAGAUGCAUCUCUAUGUGUUAAUGCAUAAUUAAACUAUCGAAACAUAAAUAUGCUAAAUAUGCUAAAAGUAAUUUUGCAGAUAAUUUUGAUUUGUAUUGUAUAUGUUCUGGAGAGAAAAGGAUAUUUAUUGGGCAAGCUCUAGAACACUCAAAGUAGACGCCUAUAUUGUCAGACACUUUUCGUCAGGCGGUUUAGUCUAAUAAUAUUCACUAGUAUUACAGAACUGACGACUUUUGACGUAAAGCGGAAAUCUGGCUAUUGCCAAUACGAUACGUAUUUAUAAAUCCGCUCUGAAAAUGAAACGUUAGUUUGACUCGGCCUCAGAUUUUGUAAAUUAUUGAUGCACUAAUAAAAUUGUUCUUUGUAUUUCUA